GGCCUCGUAGCUCAGCUGGUAGAGCGUGCGCGUACAAAGCGUAGGCGGUGUCCAUGCGUGUGUUCGAAUCCCACCGAAGCUA
rfam:Echinostoma caproni strain Egypt genome assembly, scaffold: ECPE_scaffold0016227